rnacentral:misc_RNA from 1 species
AAAGUCGUAACAAGGUUUCCGUAGGUGAACCUGCGGAAGGAUCAUUAACAAAUUCUAAACACCUGUGUUUCUGUAACUGUCUAAUCGUUGGUAGACCCCCUCAAAAGGGGGGCCCAUCGGCGCCGUGAUGGUUAGAGAAGUACACACAAACAUACACUUUGAUUGACAACACCUAGUGAUCUAGAUAUUAAUUGUAGACAACUUUUAACAAUGGAUCUCUUGGCUCUU